rnacentral:tRNA from 1 species
UCUAAUGUGGCAGAUUAGUGCAAUGGAUUUAAGCCCCAUUUAUAAAGUAUUCUACUUUUUUUAGAA